GAUCUCGUAAACAGAUUCAUUUGUAACUGUGCACCUGGAUACUAUGGGUCUCUGUGUGAGAUGGAUGUAAAUGAGUGUGAAACUUUGCCUUGUCUACAUGGAGGAAGCUGCAUCAACAGGCUUGGAGGCUAUCAGUGUCUUUGUCUACCUGGAUUCACAGGUAAUAGGUGUGAAGUAAAUACAGAUGAAUGUAUGUCUUCUCCUUGCCUCAACAAUGGAAGUUGCAU